UACGUAGGGACCGAGCGUUGUCCGGAAUCAUUGGGCGUAAAGAGCGUGUAGGCGGCCACUUAAGUCCUGCGUGAAAUCCUGCGGCUCAACCGCAGGCGGUCGUGGGAAACUGGGUGGCUAGAGUGCGGGAGAGGAGAGUGGAAUUCCUGGUGUAGCGGUGGAAUGCGCAGAUAUCAGGAGGAACACCUAUAGCGAAGGCAGCUCGCUGGGACGACACUGACGCUGAGACGCGAAAGCGUGGGGAGCGAACAGG
rnacentral:rRNA from 1 species